GACGAACGCUGGCGGCGUGCUUAACACAUGCAAGUCGAACGGAAAGGCCCUGCUCUUGUGGGGUGCUCGAGUGGCGAAAGGGUGAGUAACACGUGUGUAUCCUGCCCCUGUCUUUGGGAUAACUUCACGAAACUGGGGCUCAUACCGCAUAUGAGCUCCUGCUCCACGGUGGGGGAUGGAAAGAUUCGGCGGUUGGGGAUGGUCUCGCGGCUUAUCAGCUUGUUGGUGGGGUUGUGGCUUACCAAGGCUUUGACGGGUAGCCGGCCUGGGAGGGUGAACGGCGACAUUGCGACUGAGGUACGGACCAGACUCCUACGGGAGGCAGCAGGGGAGAAUAUUGCACAAUGGGCGGGAGCCUGAUGCAGCAACGCCGCGUGCGGGAUGACGGCCUUCGAGUUGUAAACCGCUUUCGCAUGUGACGAAGCGUGAGUGACGGUAAUGGGUAAAGAAGCACCGGCUAACUACGUG
rnacentral:rRNA from 1 species